rnacentral:lncRNA from 1 species
UUUUUUUUUUUUUUUUUUUUUUUGUGAACAACUUUAGAGGAUGAACGAAGAACAGUGGAAUGGGUGGAAGCUGAUAGAUGAUGAAAGUGAUAUCUGAAGGAUUGACAGAAAAGCAAGGGGGUCAGAGAAUUCAAGGGGAUUUUUUUUGGGAGAAAAAUCUGGAAAGUGGGUGCUAGGUUUUGGUGGCAGUUGAGGGAUUUUAGAUGGAAGAAAAAAAAAAAAAAGUGAGCUGAGAUUUGAGGGAGGGUCAAAAUUAAUCAUUUUCUAUGAGUGAAAUGGUGAGUUGAGAUAAGUGGAGAAGAGGCUCACGAGUUCUUGGGUUCCAGAGAAUAAGGACUUCCAACAUCUUCCCUAAAGUAAGUUCUCCAUUAUGAUUUUUUUUUUCUUUCAUCUGCUAUUAUUAAGAUGUGUUGUUGUUGAUCUUUGGGUGAUUCAUGGAUUCUUUUUAAUAGUUAAUGGCUCAUUUUUUGCUCGUGUUUGUGUUCAAAAAUUGAUCCAACUCAUUUUUAUCUCCUUUGUGACAUUUAGAAAUCCUUUUAAUCCACCUAUCUUAAAGCCCACUGACUAAGACAUGAAGUGUGGCUUUUGAUGAUUCAUCUUAUUUUCUUCAUUUGUGCUAUGUUUUUUCUAUUUUCUCCCUGCUCCUGGUGUUUGUGCAUUCUUGGGUAUGGGACCGUACGCUGGGAUGUGAAACCAUAGGAUAAUGAUGUUGACAAGAAAGAGCUUAAGGUAGGAUGAAUCUCUAGACCCUAAGUUAGAUUCGUUACAAGACUAUAGCUGCUGGUGGCGAGGCUCGGAAUGACGAUAGGGAGGCACUUGGCGAGUCCAUUUGCGAGUAAGGGAGAGCAAAAAUGGAGGAUGGUGGGUUAGAUUAUGAGGACCGGGAAUUCAAGAACGUGGAGGAGAUGUAGAGAACUGAAAUCGGAGAUGGAAUAGAUCCUCACAAGAAAAUCGAUUGGUACCAUAAAGGCAUCGACUAUUGGGAAGGUGUGGAGGCAUUGAUGAAUGGUGUGUUGGGUGGAUACAGCCAUGUGAAUGAUGUGGAUGUUAAGGGCAAUGAAGUUUUCCUUAAAACACUUUUUUUUUAGCGGUUCAUUGAUGCUAGAAAGAUUCAGCAUCUUAUUGCCCUAUAUUGUGGUUUCUGGCAUCGGGAGAGUGACUAAGAAUCUUCUUAUAAGGUAUUUUAAUGAGGUUGAUCUUGUUGAGCCAACAUCACAUUUCUUAGAGGCUGCUCGUGAAACUUUGGCUUCUAGAAAGCUUAUCUUUUCGGACAUGCACAAGGCAACCAACUUUUAUUGUGUUCCACUUCAAGACUCUACUCCAGAAGCAGGGAAAUAUGAUGUUAUAUGGAUUCAGUGGUGUAUUGGGCAGCUUGCAGACGACGAUUUCAUUUCAUUCUUUAAGAGAGUAAAGGUUGGACUGAAACCUGGGGGAUUUUUUGUCCUGAAAGAGAACAUUGCAAGAUCUGGGAUUUGUGUUGGACAAAGCAAAUAAAAGCAUUACCCAGUUAGAUUUAUACUUCAAGGAGUUGAUAGCUCACUAAUAACAUGAAGCAAAGCACGGUUUAAGCAAAUGGAGAAUGACAAGUCAAUAGUGGCAUGGGAAUUUUCACAAGUGGUAAGGGCACUUCAAAUUUUCUGAAUAAAUAACACCCUUCAAUGUGUGGGUCUAGUUGUGGCAAAUGCAAAUUGUUGACUUUGGGAAGAUGAUUAAAAAUCAAGAUAACCCUCAUGGUGAAAAAUUAUUCUUUAUCAUCAUGUGUCAAAGUUUAAUUUCCGUAAAUUCUCUUUUAAAUGAUUCUUAAAAUUCCGGUUUCUCCAAUAAUCUUAUUUAUAUUCCAAUUUUCAAAUUUAAUUCAUAAAAAUUCCAUUUUAAAAAUAAUUUUCCAAAAUUUCAAUUUUCAAAAUUUAAUUUCCAAAACUUCUAUUUUCAAAUAAUUGCCCAAAAUUCCAAUUCUCAAUUAAUUUUCAAAACUCCAAUUUCUUUCAAAUUUAAUUUCCAUAACUCCAAUUCCUAAAUCUAAUUUUCAAAACUCCAAUUCUCAAUUAAUUUUCAAAAUUCCAAUUCUUAAAUUUAAUUUUCAAAACUCCAAUUUUCAAAUAAAUUUCAAAACUCUAGUUUUCUUUUGAAUAGUUUUAAUUUCACUCCAAUUUUCAAAUAUUUUUCAAUUCUACAACUUUUCAUCCUUUAUUAGGGUUUUAGGUCACAAAAAAUCCUGAUUUUAAUAAGUCUGUUGACAUCCUCAUUUUGGCAUGCACUUGUACAAAUUUUCUUCGAUUUUCAAAUGAUUUUCUGUUUCUCUUGAUUUUAAAUAAGCAUGAAGGCAAUUUUCAUAAUUUCAAAAUAAUGGAAUUUGUGAGAUUAAUUCAUGCAAAAUCAAUUGGGCUUUAGUGGGGGCCCAAUAUAAGAGUUUUCUAUUUUGAUUGUCAACUGCUAUGCUUAAUGAAUAUUGUUUGAUCAUUGUCUUGCUCUUUGAUAUGCAUGUGAUAUAUUUUGUAUUCAUUAUUGUGUACUAACUCUGUUUCAUGGUAGCGCUUUAUUACUUGCUACCAAGGUAUGUUCUUACUCUCACUUUAUUUAUUUAUUCGUUAUCAUGACUUGCUUUUGAUCUAUGAUCAUUUUGGUAUUCAUUGAUCUCCUAAUUAAUUGUUAUAUUUGUUUCACCUUAUUUAGUAGAGACCCAUUUUUAGGGGUUUAGAAGGGUGUUACGGUUUUUACUGUACCUUCCUAAUAAGUAACCUAACCCCCGAAUCCAAACUCAUUUUUUCAUAGAUCUGUUUUUUCCAAAUAAUGAGUCAUAAUUAGGGUUUUCUUUAUUAUUUUGUUUUCCCUUAAAAAAAAUAAAACAAAAAUAAGUGGCGACUCCAAGUCUUUUAAAAAAAAAAUCAUAUUUUUCACCAAAUAAAUAAAAAGCGAGUUUCGCCAUCGAGUGGGAACGCAUUGUGCUAAAAUACGGGGUCCACACACCUCAAAUCUUGAAGUUUAAGACACUUAAGGUUGGUUAAAAGAUAUGUUAUUUUAUCUUUGAUCUUAGAUGGGUUUCCUUGGAAAUGUUUAGAAAUGGAGAAAAUUAUAGUAGUAACUACAUCCUCUAUGUCUUCUUCUUCUUAGUCUUUGACUAUUUCAUUUUCUGAAAUGGUUCUAUAGAUUUUUAAUCUAGAGUUCAUAUUGUCUUAUGUGAGAUAACUGUCUCGCCAUCCUUUUAAUUGACCUUUAAAUGCAACAAUAAGAGUUUGGGUAAUAACAUGGUUUGACUAUUUAUUGUUUAACUUAUAGGUUGUGUUGAACAUAAUCAUUUCUUGAAGUUUUGUUAAUAUGUUAUACUCGGUCACACAAUCUAUGUUCCAUUCAUAAAUGGUUCUAUUAAUACAAAAAGCUUGAUCAUACUGAUUCAUUUCCUCAAAUUGCAUAUCAAUGAAGGUUGAUCUUGGGUAAAAAAUAUUAAUCCUAGAGAUUGCUUUAUUCUAAUUUAAUUUUUUUUAUUAGUUCAUCAGUUUCAACAUAAGAAUUAUAGUCUUUAUUAAUAACAAUAAUUAUCCUCAAAUAAGAAAAUUGUGGUGUGUCUAAAAUAAUUAAAUUUUCUUUUACCUUUUCACUUAUUCUUUUGAUUAGAUCUUGGUUUGGUAUAAGAUUUUCUUGAAAUUUCUUAGAUAAUUCAAAUGACUUGAAUAAAGGCUUAUCAUCGUUUUUAAUAAAGGUUGUCUUAAUGUGUUUUUAGCUUUAGAUGACUUCUUCUAUUUUAUUGAGUUGAUCUCCUAGAGAUUUUAUAUUAAUCUCUAAUUUUAUUUCAUACUAUAUUUAACCAACCAAAUAUAACCGUAAGGAAUUCUGCUCUAUUUUAUCUCUCAAAUACGAUUGAGGUUACUUUAGUAAUGUAAUGACACCAUUUCUUUAAAUUAUAAUUCUAUUUGAGAGAGUUUCUAAAACAUUAAAGGCAACAUUUCAAAUAUUAAAUUAAUUGAUCUCUUGAGUAUCCAAGAGACUCCUAAAAGUGCAAUGCUUUGCUGCUAAGAGUGUAAGUAAAGCCGAAAAAACCAAUAAACCGAUCCAAACCAACCAAAAUUGAUCAUAGUUUGACUUUCAAAAAUAAAAAGGUCGGUUUGGUUUGAGAAUUUUGAAAAUUGAUUUUGUCGAUUCGAUUAUUGAUUUUCUUAUCUCCUAAUUGAUAAAAACCGAACCAAACUAAUAUCCUAAAACUUAUAUAUAAUUAUUUGAUAUUUGUUAUUUUUUUUUAUAUUAAAUUCUAUUAAAGUAAUGUUAAUAUAUUUUUAACAUUAAAUCCAAGUUAAUUUCAAUUAAUUUUAAAAACAAAUUAGACUUAGGUCUAAUAUAAACUCAAAUUAAUAGGAUUUGAGAUCAAAACAAGCACAAAUCUACAACUAAAUUUAGGAUUAAAAAAGGUUAAUAAGUUGGGUAAAAGCCGAUCCACAAAAACCAAAUUAAAUCGACCUCAAAAGGCUUGGUUUGGUUCGGUUUUUUCACUCCAACUAUGGUUGGUUCGAUUUUUAUCACAUAAAAAACCGAUUAUAUUGGUUCAGUUCAUUUUUUAUCCAAAAACCUAUCGAACCGAUUUUAUUUACACCCCUAUUUGCUGCAAUGUUUUCCUAGCACAUUUUAUUAUUGCGUUAUAUUGUAUUAGUAAGAUAAUGUGCUCCAACAAAGUGCACUUCAACGAUUUAAGACUAGUGAGUGUACAAGGAUGGUCAUAGAUCAAACUAGAUUAUUUUUCUUUCCUAGAAACUAACCUAAAGAAAAAAACUCUAUGCUCAGUAAUAUCGAUUGAGAUUUUACAUACUAUUUAUUGUAAGCCCCAAUGCUUAAGGUGCUUACUCCUAUUACUUUAUUUUCAAAAGAAUUUCGGUCAUGUUUCCAUUUUUAUUUUUCCUUAAAUAGGAAUGAAUUUGGUAAUUUGAUUACAAUAUUUUUGUUUUAAAUAGAAAGAAAAGUUUGAUAUUUCCAUUCUUGUUUGGAUGCAUAUAGAAAUGGAAUGGGUAUUUGUUUAGUUUCAAUAUUAAGUAACAACAUAAAUGAGAAUGAAAAAAAAAUGAUAAUAAUAUCUAUACAUAUAGUUUAAAAUAAUAUAUAUAUAUAUAUAUAUAUAUAUAUAUAUAUAUAUAUAUAUAUUUUAAAAGUUCUCACAAUGUACAUAGUUUUAAAAUAAUUUUUUAUUUUGAUUUAAAAAAUAAUAUCUUUGAAACUUUUUUUUGCUAAAUGAUAAAAACCUAUUUGAGCUUGUGAUUUAAUAUAUAUAUAUAUAUAUAUAUAUAUAUAUAUUUAAAAAAAAUAAUAAUACCAUUUUUAGUUGUUGUUCAUGAGAAACAAAUUUUAAAAGCAAAGUAAUCAAUUUAAUAAUUUUUAAAAAUGGUAUUAACAAUUAUUUAUUUUAGAAACAACUUAUCUAAAAAAAGUUUUUAUUUUAAAAUUUUUUUAAAAAUAACUUGCACCAAUAAAUCAAAAUACUUUCUUAUAAGUAAGAUAUUAUUUCCUUCAUAAUCAUUUUUAAUUUAAUUCCUCUUCUUAUUUCAAUUACUCAAUAGAGGAAUGAAUAAGAAACGGGAUGAAAUAUCAUUCCCCCUUUACAUUCUCACGUAUCAAACAUGUUUCUUACUAUAGUAAGAAUGAAAAGAGAUCGUAUCAUCUCUCUACCCCAUUCACAUUGUUGUAUAUGUUAUUUGUAUCUAGGUUAAAUCAUAAUCUUUUUGAAGGCUUAUAUUAACAAUCCUUUUAUUGAACACUUUUGAUAAAGUAUAAUCCUUCUAAUAAGUUUGGAAUGAUUAAAUUUUCAAUUUCCUAGAGAAAGGAAUGAAUACAAGCCCAUUGGUGAAAUCAAAAUAAUCGAUUUGAAACUUUCUUAGAUCAAAAGUUUCGACAACAAACCUUUAAGCUCCACAAACCCCUCAAAUGAAAAUCAAAGAACCUCUAAUUUAAAGCUUAAGUAAUUCUAUGAUUGAGUUAACCUGUAGUUAGAAAUUUUAUUUGUAGAAGAAUAUUUGAGUAGCCCCAAGGAUAAAAGAUAAGAGAUCUCAUAGGUGAUCCUAAUGAAUAGCAUUUGGUGCAUGAUGUGCAAAGAUGAUUUUCAUGUUUUUUUAAUUAUAGGACUAAAUGAAUUAUGCAAUUUUGAUAGGUACCAGGUUUGAAUAAAAUUCUCAAUCAUGAGCACAAUAAUUUGUAACGUGAUGUAUCCAUAUUUCUGAGACAUCUCAAAGAAGUAAGAAAUUCAUAUUUUUUUCUUUUAACAUAACAUGUGGAGUAGAUAUUUAUAAAAUCUCAACUCGAAACAGUACAUGAUUCUAUAAUAAUACAAAUCACACUUAGUGAAUUCGGUUUUUAUUAAUAUAAAAUAUUUAUAACUCAAAAAUUGGAUUGAAAUUUUUAAUAUUUUUUUUUUCAAAUAAACUAGUAAAAUUGAUUUUUUUUUUUAAAACUAACUUGUUUCGAUUUGGUUAAUUGUUUUAAUUAUUCCUAGUUCUCCCAUUAUUAAGAAAAAGAAAAAUUCCAAUAAAGUUAUUCGUUCCCAAAUUCACAAGCAAACAUUGCGGCCCAUUUUUAGGCCCAAAGAAAGGCCCAUUGGUUCUGAGUUUACAAUGUUGGUGAAGUAGUUGUCACUUGUCAAUACUAUCACACCCUUAUUUUAUCUUCUCUUUGUGCUCUCUAUACCAUCUUCCCCUUCCUCAUUUCAGGGUCUGCUUAAACCCUACUCUCUCCACUGCUCCAAACCCUAGAUUCUGAAGGAGGUAUGAACCCUUCUCUUCUCACAGCUCCUCCUCCUUCUCAACACUCCUCUCCCUUUCUCAAUCCCACACCUUUCCGCUUCUCAACAACCUCCCUCACAAGACGACGUCGUUAUCGAAUCUCACUCAUUCGGAGCUCAUCCACCCCUCCCGACCCUCUCACCUCGUCACCCCCCUCCGUCACAUCCGAUGUCUUCGGCGGCCGGAGGGAGCUCUCGGGGAUUCAGCCUUUGGUCGACAGCUUGUCGCCGCCUCUCAGGCUAGUUAGCUCCGCUCUCAUUGUAGCUGGCGCCAUCGCCGCCGGGUACGGCCUGGGGUUUCGGUUCGGGAAAUCUCGGAACACCGCAUUGGGCGGUGCUGUGGCUAUUGGAGCGGCCGGUGGUGCGGCUGCGUAUGCGUUGAACGCUUGCGUUCCGGAGGUUGCCGCGGCGAAUUUGCAUAAUUACGUCGCCGGAUGUGAUGACCCUGGGGCUGUGAAGAAGGAAGAUAUUGAAGAAAUUGCGAAUAAGUGAGUAAUCGUGAUUGUUGUUUCUUUCAUUACCCAUAUCUGUGUACACAUUUCGCAUUAGGGAAAGCAUAAUUCUACUUCAAUAAGACCAAGAAUGCAUUUACAGAGAAAUAUACAUCUUGCAAUUUUUAGUUUAGUAUGAUAGUUCUUUGAAUCGACUGUCCAAUUUAUCGCAGGAAGCCUAAAACCUCAUCCAUUUCUCAAUGCUUAAUUUACAGGUAUGGUGUUAGCAAACAGGAUGAAGCAUUUAAUGCAGAGCUUUGUGACUUGUAUUGCCGGUGAGUACAUCUCUAGAGUAUAAGGUGUGCAUCCUUGUUUUCAAUACGCAGACUGCAGUAUUCAAGUUCAUGGGGUAUGGGCGGUGGUUAAUUGUGGGAGCAACAAGCAUGGGUACAUCCCAAUUUAAUAUUCAGAAAUAUCUCAAUGGUCAGGCAGCCCUAAGCUAGUUUUCUGUAGUCUGAAAAAGUAAUUUUGUUUCUCCCUUAAUUUAUUUCCACCUGGGCAUUUAUAUCUGUUAAUCUUUUCAUUAUUAUCUAGUGUUGUUGCUUGUCAAAUUUCUGUUUACAGUUAUCCGAAUCAAAUUUAUGCUGUGUUGAUUCUAUUGAUGAGUUAUGCUAUGAUGUUUCUUGGAAUCAUCAGAAUAUAGUUGAGCUUUGCCUAUAAUUUUUCAGGUUUGUAACUUCUGUCGUUCCUCCGGGGAGUGAAGAUCUCAAAGGUGAUGAAGUUGACACAAUUAUCAAAUUUAAAAGUUCUCUUGGAAUUGAUGAUCCAGACGCAGCAGCCAUGCAUAUGGAGGUAUUCUUUCAUUAGUUGUUGUAAGAUUAAAAUGUUUUUGGUCUUACAUGAAUCAGGGGUUGUUUAUAUUUUUCUCAAAUUCAGUUGUAAAUUUUGUUGCUACAGAUUGGUAGGCGAAUUUUCAGGCAAAGGCUUGAAACUGGGGAUCGUGAUGGUGACAUAGAGCAGCGUCGGGUCAGUUAUUUGUAGUUGUAUCUCUUGACAACUUUGAUUUUUAAUCUACUUAUAUGAUUUCUGAAUGGAGAUAUGGAGCUUGACCAUUAUUAGUAAGUCUCCAGUGCAGGCAUUUCAGAAGCUGGUUUAUGUCUCAACUCUUGUGUUUGGUGAAGCAUCAAAAUUCCUUUUACCUUGGAAACGUGUUUUCAGGGUUACUGAUUCUCAGGUAUGUAGUCAUGAAUUGCUUUUUGUGUUUAGUUCAGUUACUAAUAUUCUGCAAUCUCGUUCCUGUAUGUUUGAUAGAUAUUUAUUAAUAGCAUCCCUAAUUGUCAACAACACCAAUCCUGUUCUUCUGUUUUAGAUUAUUAAAAGUUGAUGGUGGUGCCUAUUUCAUAUCUUUACAUGGAUCACGUGGUUUUCCCUCACUAAAAGUCUCUCCAGUUUUUCCUGAUGUUAAUACUAAACUUUCUGCCUGCCAGGUUGAGGUUGCUGUCCGUGAUAAUGCACAGCGGUUGUAUGCCUUCAAGCUAAAAUCAGUUGGCAGAGGUAAAUGCACAAUGCUUUAACGCCUCAAACAAUGAUAAUGCUCGUCUUAAGUGUGGUAUUGUAAUUGUAGAUUCAAUAUGAAACAAAAUAAUGUGUAUACCAUCACUGUUUUGUGUGAUGAGCCUAUUUUGUGCAUUGUGCACUUGGGACGUGGGAUUCUUGUUUUCAAGCUACUUUAGGGGCAAUGCUGGAUGCUACUUGGCCCAUUUGAAGUAAGAAGAUUGGCUGGGAAGGUCAUACUCUGUUAAUCAAGCAGUUGCUAAGACAAAAUGUCUAGGAUACUUUUAGAGAGAUUGAUGAGCAAACUUAGAAACUGUUUGGGAGUGAUUUUAAAAGGGUUGAAAGCGCUUUCCAAUGCCUAGAAGCGUGUUUCAAGGCUUGGAAGCACUUUCUUUGCAAAAAAUCGAAGCUAACAAAAUUUGAAAAAUCAUUUUCAAGAAUAUAGAGUCAAUUGAAAUAAUUUUUGGACUAAUACUCGGUAGGUGCUCCUUUCAAAAUUUAUUUUCUUUUCCAUGUGAUAUAUAUUCUAGAAAAAAUCAUCAAUUUUUUUUUUUUUAAAUCCAAAUUAAUUAUCCUUAAAUUUGUUUCUAAUAGAAGUGUUAUUCACUAAAGUGCUACUAGCUAAAAGCGCCUUUAGUAGAAUCAUUCUCAAAUGGGCGCAUAGUUCCAAAAGGUAAGUACUAAAAUAUAGUCAAUAUUUUUCUUCCUAUAGGGGGGAUAUUAUUUUGCUGUGGUGGGGGGUUUGGUUUUGUACUGGGUGGGGCACAAGGUUGUCUAUGUCAAUUAGAAUGAAAAAAGAAAAAAUAUAGGAUAUAAAAGAACAGGAAAAAAUAAGGAGGGGAUCUAGCAAAUAUGCUAUACAACUAUAGACAGUGAAACGAGGAGAGAAAACCUGUAAAGUUGAAUGUUUUAAGAGGUAGAAACCUGUAAUGUGCAACAAUUAAUAUGAUGAUAGUUACAAGAAAAUAUAUAACAUCUAGUUUGGCCUGGAAAUUUUAUUAGGAAGGAUCUCAAGGAUCAGCAAAUGCCCCUAUUGUUUGUUUUGAUGCAUCAUCUGCAAGAGUGAAAUAGUAAAUUUUUGAAGGCUUUGAGUCCUUGAAACUGAAGCUGAGGUGUGGUUUUAUGCUUUAAUUGAUAAAGAAUAGUUUGCUGUAAUUAAAGUUGCUGGUUAUGAAGGCUGGAGCAAUAUUGCUAUGCAUCAAUGAUAUGUCUUUUUGAAACUGAAGAUUGAGCAAUUCAGACAUUUUUGUGACUACUUAAUCUGUAAUAUGCUGUGAUAUGGUGGGGUUGCCUACCUUAAUAAUUAUUUUAUCCCAUUCAUCAUAGAUGAACCAGGAAUAAUUUGUUAGUGACUUAAUUUCUUUGAUUGGUGAUAAUCUUUAUUUAUUAUAAUGUUGAAAUCCAUUCUAAAAGCAUAUACUAGUCAUACUUGAUAUGCUCCAUGAGCACUAAUAAAAUUGAAAUAUUUGUUUAGAUGUUGAUGUGAAUCAGCUUGUUAGCCUUAGAGAGGCGCAACUUUCUUGUCUGCUUUCCGACGAGGUACCUCCAAAAUUUUUUGCGAUAAAUAGACUUCUGCAUGGUUGAUGUCUUAUAAUUGUUUCUUCACUUGGUAGAUUCUGUCUGUGACAGCUUGCUGAGGAUAUGUUUAAGGAGCAUACAAGAAAACUGGUUGAGGAAAACAUUUCAACAGCGCUAAGUAUAUUAAAGUCUAGGACGAGAGCAGUGUAUGAUUACUACUCCUUUAUUCUAAAGCAACUUAUAAGUGUAUCCAUGUAUUGUGGAACCUAUCAGAUAUUCUUUUCUUUGGUGAAAGCAGUUCUAUGCAUCAUUUUAAAAAAUUAAAAAACAGUCUGAUUGAAUCUUACUUCAGGGAUGUGUAUGUGAGAGCAUGCAUGUUCUCGGACUUACUUUCCGUUGUAAAUAAUUGACUGUGCAUAAGAAGUUUUGAUUCAUCUCUUGUCUGGGCUUUGUAUAUUCUUUGUAGUUUGGUAGUUGUAGCAUUUGCCCUAUCUUAUAAAAUUAGGUUAUUCAGCAGGGGAGCUACACAAGUUGUGGAAGAGCUUAAUAAAGCACUGGCAUUUAAUAAUUUGCUAAUCUCAUUGAAGAAUCAUCCAGAUGCAGGCCGCUUUGCUUGUGGGGUCGGGCCAAUUUCUUUGAUGGGUAAGGAUGAUAGCUAAAAAUUUGCCUUUAAGUUCUCAUGGUCCUGAUGUAUUUUUAGCAUUCUGAACCUUGUAGCUGUUAUCAAUUUAUAUCUUUCACUUAGGUGGUGAGUAUGAUGGUGACAGAAAGAUGGAUGAUUUGAAGCUUCUAUAUAGAGCAUAUGUUGCUGAUUCUUUAUCAAGUGGUCGUAUGGUGGAAAAUAAGGUGAGAAACUCUACUUCUAGUCUCUAUGUCCUGUGGCAAAUGUCCUGGCUUUUUAAACUAAACUUUUAAUUCUGAUAGAUUUUGAAGGGUAGUUCUUGUUAUGGCAUAAUACGUCUCUGACCCAAAUCUGUCUGUUGGAUAAUUCUUCUUUGGAAGUCCCUUUUAUUUGAACCAUUCUGUGUACCUGUGUAGUGAUAUGUAGAUGAUAAUACCGAACCAAGUGAACUAAGUAACUGUAAUCUUUAUAGUUUUCUUUGGACUUGAGAGAAAAGAAGAGAAACCUUUAGAAGCCCAUUUCCCUUUGUUCAAUUUGUGAAUAAGGGCAAAAGAAGAGAAAUUAGUAAUUAACUGGCAGAAAAUUUUCUCUAUGGCCCCACCAAAACUACUACUUCAAAAGUGAGGUCAUUUGGAGAAGGGAAAUUGGGUUCAACAUCUCUGGGACUAGGUACAAGCCCUUUAUACAAGAUCUUGGAUGAAGCCUAUCCUUUCUUUCCCCUUGCUUUGUCUCCAUUUCCCUUUUCUGUAGGAUUCCUCACCAUUUACCUUAGGAUCUUUCUCUACUUCUGUUCAUAACUGAACAAAAUACUCAAAACCUCUCUCUCCAUUUUCUCUUCUAUUCUCAUUUUUAGAGGUUCCAAACUGUUUUAAUCUGCCUUCAUUUCUUGUUAAGACAUCUUUAUCACUUGGAUGUGCAGUGUGGGUGUGAACUACUAUGCUUAAAAGGUAACUAGUACUACGAUUUUCUUAUUUGAUGUUAGAAAGGCCUUAGCACUUCACACCAUCAAAAUGGAUCCCUAGGCUCAUCUAUGUUUUUGUCUUUGUUUAGAGCUGAGUUGCUUCCAGUUUGUUCUAUUAUCCCUAGGCUCAUCUAUAAGUUGCUUUUGGUAAAAUGAAAGAACUUUAAUAAAAGCUGCUAGACACCUUAGGGCUUCUCACCUUUCUGGGAACUUCAAUUCCCAGGGCCUCAAACUGGAAGUCGCAUGGGAAGGGGCCCUCUGUGACGGUGUUAUUGGCCAAACGGUUGUUUGUGGCUGGCUUUGUUAAUGUGUUUGAUAAUUGUUUAUGUUUUAUGUGACCCUUCUUUUAUUUAUUUAUUUAUUGUCGUUUUGUAGCUUGCUGCGUUGAAUCAAUUGAAGAAUAUAUUUGGUUUAGGUAAACGAGAAACAGAAGGCAUUAUGCUUGAUGUUACCUCAAAGGCAUAUCGUAAGCGACUUGCACAGUCUGUGUCUGGUGGUGAUUUAGAAGCUGCAGAUAGCAAAGCUGCCUUCCUCCAAAAUAUUUGUGAUGAGUUGCACUUUGAUCCAAAGAAGGCCAGUGAGAUCCAUGAAGGUAUUAUAGGAGCGAAAAUUUUAUGAUGCGCUGACACCACAAUCAGCAUAUGCUGUUUUACAUGUCACAUGCGCUAAUACUAGUAUAAGGUGUAACACUUGUCAUACUCUACUGGUACUAGUAGAGUGCAACAUGUUUUACAAGAUGCUGGAGGGAAAAGAAAAAAAACUAAAUGAAAAAUUCUAUGUCCUGUUUCUUAAUGUUGUUUGUCCCAAUUGUACCUUUCUUAUGUGCCAUAAAAGUGUCUGAUGUGCUCCAUUUUUUUUUCCAAAGAAAUUUAUCGGCAAAAGCUCCAGCAAUGUGUAGCUGAUGGAGAGCUGAAUGAGGAGGAUGUUGCCAUUUUGUUGCGGUUACGAGUCAUGCUCUGUGUUCCUCAGCAAACUGUUGAAGCAGCUCAUGCUGAUAUUUGUGGCAGCUUGUUUGAAAAGGUAAUAAUUUUUUCUUUAGUUCUUUUGUUUGUUAUAUAAGAUUCCUGCUUGUCAUUGUGCUGAAAUGCUUUUUGUCUGGACCAUCUCCUCUGUUGGUUUGCCUUCUAUGGUUUUAUUUCAAAAGAGGAAUCUAUGGGUUUAUGUAUUGAAUGAUAUAGCUCCAUCUCAUCUGAAGACCCUGUUAAAAAAAUCAGUAUAGCCCCGUCUCACUUUUAGUACCAUCACAUGCUUUUCAAUUUGUUGUUGUUAAUGAAGAAAUGGGAUUUUUUGUGGUCUCACAAUUUGGCAUUGGCCAGCAGCUCAAUAAUUCCCACACAGAUUGCUCAUGAAGCAGUAAUUGCCACUUUGAACGAUAUAUGAGUAUAAUCUGCAGUGUUGAGAUGAUAUUGUGAACAGUUUGCCCUUGCAACCUUGCUAGAUCCAAUAAGGUGGUAAUAGCUCGUGUCUGAUCAAAGGUCUGGCCUAUAGUUUGAGUCGUGAAAAGGUCUGGCCUAUAGUUUGAAUACUGUGGUUUGUCAGUAUGGUUGCCGGUUGGCAGAAAGGCAAAGUGAACAUUUUAUUUCUGUGGAUGUAUCCAGUAUGUUGUUGAUAUGGCUGACCACAUUGAAUGCAACAAUUAGCUAUUGCUAUUGUUUCUUGAUGGCAUGUUAGACCAAUGUUUUGAAAGUUAUGACAGGCCAAUUGUUUUAGGAAACACUCUGAUUAGUCAUUGUGGAUAAAAAUUGUUCAGUUUGGAUAGGAGUGGAUUCACUUGGAAUUGGAUGGUGUAAGAAAUAAUUAGGGUCAAGAUUAUUUGAUUGUGCUCUAGAUAGGCUAUGAAAUAAGGUUUAGAAAAGUUUAUUAAUUCAUGGCUUCAUCCAUAUUCCUAAAGUUUUGGAACUCCAAAGCAUUCUUCCUAAGGGAGUUAGUUUCUCUAGUUUAACUGUUGUAGAACCUUUUGAUAUGUAGCUUUACUUGAAGACCUGUUGAUUUCUUAUUGUGGUGUUUCUGUGUUCAAUUUUAACAUAGUAGAAAUUGUCGUUCUUAUUUUCUUUGUUAGCAAUCACUGAUUAUUCCUGCUAGUCUAUUGCCUAGAGGAUUGUUGAACUAAAGUAACUUAUUUUUCUUGUCUUUUCCAGGUUGUGAAGGAUGCAAUUGCUUCUGGUAUUGAUGGAUAUGAUGAUGAUGUUAAGAAAUCUGUGAGAAAAGCUGCUCAUGGCUUACGCUUAACAAGGGAGGCUGCCAUGUCUAUUGCUAGUACAGCAGUAAGUAUCCAAUCUGAUUGCUUUCUCUGUCUUUCCCCUUUGCCCCCUGUUUUUGUUCUUUUGUGGGAAAUUGGCAUUUGUUUGUUAAUCCUUUUCUUUGGAGAGGAAGGGAUGAGAGAGGGAGCUGAGUUUGGGGGGGAGACAGAGAAGAGGGAGGGGGAUGGAGGUGAUGGUGUGCUAUGGCACAACUAAAUAGCAUGCCAUCCAUCACAUCAAAAAAAUUUUAAGCAACAUAUUGUUGAACUACUAUAAUCUGUAGCUUUAGUUAACUACUAUAAUCUGUGCAGGUCCGGAAAAUUUUCAUGAACUAUGUAAAACGAUCACGAGCUGCUGGGAACCGUAUUGAAGCCGCCAAAGAACUUAAGAAGAUGAUAGCAUUCAACUCCUUGGUUGUGACUGAAUUAGUAGCAGAUAUAAAAGGAGAAUCAUCUGAUGCUGCUUCUGAAGAGCCUAUUAAGGAGGAAGAGGUACAAAUCGAAGAGGAUGAUGACUGGGAUUCCCUUGAGACACUCAGAAAAAUAAAACCCAGAGAGAAACUUACUGCAAAGUUGGGGAGACGAGGAGGGCAAACAGAGAUAACUCUUAAAGAUGACCUCCCAGAAAGAGAUAGGACUGACCUUUAUAAGACAUACUUAUUGUUCUGUCUGACUGGGGAAGUGACCAAGAUUCCGUUUGGGGCACAAAUCACCACAAAGAAAGAUGAUUCAGAGUAUCUUCUGCUGAACCAGCUUGGUGGAAUCCUAGGUUUGACUGAUAAGGAGAUUGUGGAAGUUCAUCGGAGCUUAGCAGAGCAGGCUUUCAGACAACAAGCUGAGGUGAUUUUAGCUGAUGGGCAAUUGACCAAAGCUAGGAUCGAGCAGCUCAAUGAGGUGCAGAAGCAAGUUGGACUGCCACCACAGUAUGCACAAAAGGUUAUAAAGAAUAUCACAACUACAAAAAUGGGAGCUGCCAUUGAAACUGCUGUCAGUCAGGGAAGGCUCAACAUAAAGCAGAUACGAGAACUCAAGGAAGCAAGUGUUGAUUUAGAUAGCAUGUUAUCUGAGAGCUUACGAGAGAACGUCUUCAAAAAAACUGUUGAUGAAAUGUUCUCAUCAGGCACCGGAGAAUUUGAUGGGGAGGAAGUCUAUGAGAAGAUCCCUUUAGAUCUCAACAUUAAUGCUGAAAAGGCAAAAGGGGUUGUUCAUGAGCUUGCACGAACUAGGUUAUCAAACUCCCUGAUUCAGGCUGUGUCCUUGCUCAGGCAGAGAAACAGUUCAGGGGUGGUAUGGUUUUCCCAACUUGGUUUCUUGUGACUUCAAUUAGAUGACUCCUUAAAUAUACUGUCAAUAGAGUUUGAAUGCAUAGCUAGAUCUAAUACAUGUUUCUGCUGUCUUCAGGUUUCCUCUCUUAAUGACUUGCUAGCUUGUGACAAAGCUGUACCCUCUGAACCGUUAUCAUGGGAGGUUACAGAGGAGUUGGCUGAUCUUUUUGCUAUAUACAUGAAGAGUGACCCAGCUCCUGAAAAACUGUCCCGCUUGCAGUACCUGCUGGGCAUAAGCGAUUCAACUGCAGCUACGUUGCGAGAGAUGGGAGACAGAGUACUGCAAAUCGGAACAGAGGAAGAGUUUGUAUUUUAGAUUCUGUAAUGAGAUGCAACGUUCUAAGCACAUGGCUCAUUUUUGUUUCCCCUUUUUUGGUCGGCCCCUUUUCUUCAGAAACGAGAAACAAUAGGGUGAUUAGUAGUGACAAUUUGCCAAUGCAGUCUGGGAUUCCAAAUAGGCAUGAAGGUAUCAAUAGAUGUUUAAUACCAAUUAUCGUGUGCGAAUAUUCUUAAAAAUAAAUAAAAUUCUCAAUGCUUGAUAUCCUGGGCCAUUGUUUUGUUUUUAGAAAUUUGAAGUUCAGUUAUAUGACUUAUAUCCUUAUGUUACAGAGCCCACCUCUGCAAUGUCUUAAAACCACCAAAGCUAGAUGAAGCACUCAUGGUUGAGUGGCCAGUUGUUGGAAGGGUUGGCUUUGAGUGGCUUUCUAACUUACUACCAAACUAGCCGGAGCCAUGUAAUUUAUUGUCUUCUGGUUUUAAAUAGGCUGAAACUGCAUUUUCAAAGUACAACUUCUAAUCUUUAUCAAAGCUGCAUGGUCAAAAUGCUAGACUUUUGAUGUUAUGUGAAAUCGUAUUUUGAAAAUGCCACUUUUGAUUUUAUACUACGAGGCAUUUCAAACAAGGAGACCUAGGUUAAAAAAGGAUAAUAAUAAUUUACAUGACUCCUCGGUGACAUCAAGAGGGUCGGUUUCAAGGGUCUCCAACGGGCGGGGCGGGCCGGGCCUAUGGGCCCGUUGACUGGUCAACGGGCCGGGCCGAGCUCAGCCCGCGGGCUCAUAGGCCGGGCCGCGGGCUUUUUUAAAUAAGCCAAAAUGGCUUUUAAAUAAAGGAAGGAAGAGGGGGGAUUCGAAUCCCUCCCCUCAAGCUUAAAUUUCAAGGCUCUAACCAACUGAGCUACAUUUCUUUUGUGCUUAUUAAAUGAAUUAGUUAUAUAUAUAUAAAAAUAUAGUAUAUUAUUUUUUUAAAAAAAAUUAAAGGCGGGCCUAAGGGCGGGCCUACGGGCGGGCCUACGGGCCGGGCCGGGCCUAAAGCGGGCCGCGGGCUUUUUGGAGACCCCUAGUCGGUUUAAUACAAAGUUUGAAGAAAUGCAUGGGUAUUGGGCAGGAUGAAUUUUGGCCCUCAAACAACAGCACGCACCCCUAAAACUAUCCUAGAAACCUCAGAGCUAUUGAGUCUUCUCUCCACCAUCCCCAUAGUCUCUUCGGACCCCUUGACUUAAACUCCGGUUUGGGUGAGCUUCUCAAAUGCUAAUAAUAGCCUUGGAAAACCAUGGUCCAUGGAUUCCACCCUUUGAACUUGAUUUGACGAGUCCUCAACACAAGAUGCCAAAAUCAAAUUUAUCCUUAUUUUUAAUAAAAAGCAUAUUUAAAUUCAAAUUCCAAAUAUAAAAUGCGAGGGUAUCGCAGUAGUAAUUGUUUCUGCUUCUUCAACACAAGCAAUACCAUAUCCGAAACAAAGUCUUAAAAAAACUGAGGACUGUAUCAAGUCACCACAUCUUUGUUUGUAGCAAGUUUGAAAAUUUUGUAAGGGAAGCUGCAUGCCUUGAAGCCCAAUAGUCGUGGCAACCUCCGGUGGGGAAUCCACAGCCUUGACUGUUGGGAACAACCCAAAGAUACGGAGUUAGUGAACUUGUUGACCAAAUUAUUACAAAGAUAAAUCACGCUCAUUACCCGUGUUGGUCGGGCCUUAUAUGAGGGAGUACCCUAUCUCAUUAGCUUAGAUUUUUUGUAGUGUAUAUGAUUUCGCAAAAGCUCAUUGAUGUGAGCAUUGGUAAUCCAUAGAAAAUCCAUGGUCAGUAGCAGCAUUAUUCUUAGCUCUGGUUAUACUUUUAAGAAUGCUGCUGACAUGGGUGUUUGGAAUUUUAGGUAGACAAGAAGCUUUAGCUUUGAAUCUUGUGUUGCUAGCACUGGUUAGGAGAAGUAACAUCAUACUAUACAUGAUCUGAGUUGGGUGUCUAUUUGGUAAUAUUUAAAAAAUUAAUUUUUAAGAAUAAUUUUGAAAUAUAAUUCUUAAUUAUUUUCAAGAACUAAAUUUUAUUAAAAACUCAAAUAUGAAAAACUAUUUUUUCGGUACACGGAAGUUUUCAAUCUAUUAUUAAUAUUUUCAAUUAUUUUUUCAUGACAUUCUAUAAAAAAUACUUUAAAUUUAUUUUAAAAAAUUAAUUAUUCUUAUAGAAUAAAUCCUCGAAAAACAGUUUUCCAUUAAAAAUCUAUCAAACUUAUUUUUUAAGUCAAGAAAAUAAUUUUUAUUUUAAAGAAGAGAAAAUUAUUUUAAAACAUAUUUUCACAUAGACUCUACAAUUUGGAGAGGAACUUCAAGUGGAUAAAAAAACACAAGUAUUAAAACUCAUGUAAGCAAGCAUGCUAAUAUGAAAGUUUUGGACUUUGUUUCCACUUUGAAAAGUUGGGUUGACAAAGAAGUUUCUAAAGUUAGGGGAUUUUGCAAAAGGUAGCUCCAAAAACUAAAGUUUAAUGCAAAACCCCAUUAUUAGGACAAAAAUAAUUGAAAACCCAUUGAUCUUAGGCUGACUAAUCAACCAGAUUCCUCACCAAAAGAUAUGUUCACACACUAAACAAUUACCAUUCAAAGUAAUUGUCAAAAUCACCAAAAUGUCAAAAGCCCAUUUCCACUAUGAGAUGGUGCCUGCCUCUUUUUUUCUUCUUCUUUAUCCUUUUCCCUCUCAUAAGCCAACCAGAGGCUAUCAGAGAUUAGUGUAAUGAUGAAGUUGGGACAUGGCCAACACCAUAAAACACAAGUCUAAUUAAUUUCCAAAGUUCAUUGUCAUAUGCAUUUCUAAGUUUUGUUUUUUCUUAGUUAAACAUUAACUCUUUUAAAAUAAUUCUCAAAAUUCUAAGUAGCUUAAACUAUCAACCCUUUUUCAUUACGAUAAAUUCUUUUAGGUUAUGUUUGGUUCCCGGAAAGUACAAAGAAAAGAAAAAAAGUGCUAAGGAAAAUGAUUUUCUCAUGUUUGGUUGUCCUAUAAAAUAUUCCAAAGAAAAUUAAAUAUAAUUAAAAUUAGUUAGAAACUUGUACAUUUUAAAAUUAUUUAAUCUUUAUAUUAAUGAGUUAAAAUAAAUAAAAUGAGUUUGAAAUAGUAAAUAAAAAUAAUUUAUCAUCUUUAACUCUAUUUUUUAUUUUCCUUCACUUUUUCUUUCCUUUUACUUUUCCUCUCUAUUUUCUUUCCUUUGGAUUUUCCCUCAAAUUUUCCAAGAACCAAACAUAACCUUAAGUUCUUGGACUGCUUGGAUGAACCAGACAAUCGUUUGUUUAAAGUUUAAGCAUUGGUGCAUUGCUCUAUACCCCAAAUUUAGAAGAGCUUUCAAACACUAGAAGCAAUAUUUUAGAGUAGAAACAUAAUUGUUUCUAGGUGUUGGAUAGGUUCCACAUCUUCUUGCAUAAUCUUACCUAUAUUUUGAAAACUCAAAAGAGAUUUGUGCUUAAUUUUUCUUAAAUAAUAUAACAUGUGAAGUAGAAUUUUAUUGACUUAAAAAUGCUAAAAAUAUAAAAUCCGAAUAUUAAAUUACAACCAUUCCACAUGGAAUAAGAAUAUGUUUGAGAGUAAUUUUAGAAAACAUUUCUAAUAUUUUUAAUACUUAAAUGAUAAAAAUUUUAAGUAUUAAAAAUAUUAAAAACGCUUUUUAAAAUCAUUAUCAAACGAGUUCUAAGUCUUGCUGAAAAGGCUACCAAAAAUAAUGAAAAUUUUUAAUUAGAAUUAUUAUCCUUCAUUUUGAACAUAUAUAUAUAUAUGUUCAUUGUUGAUAUAUAUACAUUGCCAUUGUUGGAUUGAACUUGACCCAUUCAAGCAGAAUGUAAAUGAUGUAAUGCUGAUGAGGCCAUUCUUCAUGGAUAAUGUUAUUCAUAUGCCUUGUGCUCAAUAUUGUCAAUGUAAGGGAUUCACUAGUAGUUAGGUUAAAAAUACAUAUUUCUUAAUCUAUGCUAGUGCCUUGUACGUAUUCUCCACUAUGGAUGUGAAUAUUAAUGAUAUAACCCCACUACGAAAGUGGUGAGAAAACUGCUAAUAAUACUAAGAAAGAAUAAGGAUUUUUGAACUUUUGAUCAACACAUUCAACACUUUUUUUUUUUUUUUUUGAAAUCUUUGUGAAGAGUUUUGACUAGUACCAGUAAUAAAAGGCCAUUGAGUUACUCCUUUCUCUCUAUAAAUAGCUACGUAUAUCCAUGAGCUUCACACACUGAGCUUUGCCAUACACAAAACCCCUAGCUAGCUCUUCUUCUUGGUUUCUUCUUAAUUUCUCAUCUUUGGUCUAGAUAAACCCUAAUAGGAUAAUGGGGUUUUCCACACCAUAUCAUCAUAUUUUAUCCUACAUGUUUCUUGCUUUUAUACCCAUUGGCAUGGCCUCUUCGGGACUGUCCUCUACUUUCUAUUCAGCCAAAUGCCCUAAAGCCCUCUCCACCAUUAGAACUGCAGUCAAUACUGCAGUGGCCAACGAAAACCGCAUGGGGGCUUCUUUGCUUCGUCUCCAUUUCCACGAUUGCUUUGUUAAUGCAAGUUUUCUCUCUCUUCUCUUCCAUUAUAAUUUUUUUCUUUGUCCUUGUGCUAUAUCCUCUUACAUUAUAAUUUUUUUUCCUUGUCAUUUUGGUAUAUAUAUUGUGACAAUGAAAAAAAAUUUGUAACACUACAUAAGUAUGAGUUCUCUUUAACCCUAUAAAUAUGUUUUAAAAUUGAAGUUGUUACAAAUGGUAUUAAAAUCGAUUCUCAACCUUAAUUGAGAGUUUGUUUGACCCUAUGAAAAAAGUCUAUCUGUUUAAUCCCACAAUGUCAUGAGACACUAUGAAGAUAUCGUGUUUAUAUGUCUCAUAUGAGAUACAGGAGAAAGUUUAUAAUUUUAUAUAAAUAUGAAUUAUUCUUAAUUGUAUACAUAUAUUUUAAAACUUUGAGGAUCCUUUGGGCUUAACAGAUUGUUAUAUAUUUACACAUAUCAUAUUUUAUUCAUUGUUAACCUAUUUUGAAGGAUUAUUUAAUUUAAGUGUUCACCUUUUCGUCUAUUUAUUUUUCAUUUAUUAAAAUGUUUGUAGUUUUUAUAUGCAUACGUACCGUGAAUUUUAUGUAAUUUUGUUAAUGAUAUCAUAUUUGUAUGCAUGAUCAAUAUUAGUUUAACUCACUAUUCUUAAGAUUAGUUACUUAGUAUAAUAUCAAGAUUGAAGUACUUUGUAAAAGAUUAGGAGUUGAAAUUAAGGUUAUUGUUCAUUUAUUUUCAUCUAUUCACCCACGAGAGAGAAGGUUGUCUCGGAGCAUGGGGCACGGUGCCAGGACUAUUAAUUUAAGCAUGCAGGAAUAUAUGAUCAAAUUAAUGGUUCAACGAAUUUUUACAUGAAAUUAACUUAUUAUGGUUGAUUAUUAUUUUAAUGGCAUAAUGGUUUGUUUGGAUGCAACAGGGAUGUGAUGGAUCAAUUUUAUUAGACGACACAGCAAAUUUUACAGGAGAGAAGACAGCAGGGCCAAACGCAGACUCGGUGAGGGGGUUUGAGGUGAUAGACGAUAUUAAAUCUCGAGUGGAGAGUGUUUGCCCUGGAGUUGUUACUUGUGCUGACAUCCUUGCUGUUGCUGCUCGAGAUUCUGUUGUUGCUGUAAGCAUAAUUUUAUCUCAAUAAACAUUUUCAAGAGAUACAAAAAGUAAAAAAGUGUGUUUAAAUUGACCAAAGGAAACAAAUCCUACUCGGCCACCAUAAUUUGACCCUUGAAUGAAAGAGGUGGUGGUCAAAUUUGUCACGUAGGAUUGCAGACGAAACACCUUGCAUUCUCCAUAAAGCAAUCAUCUGUUAUUUCUUAGUAAAUUCAACACAUUACCCAUUAAUUAAUUGGAGUUGACUUUAGGUGAAUCUUUAAAAAUUGAUUGAUUUGGGCUAAUUUGGUUUGUCUAUUCAAUUGGUUCUUUGCAUAUCUAUACCUACCUCUUAUCAACUUGAUCAAUAUUUAUUUUUCUGCAGUUGGGAGGACCUACAUGGACAGUUCAGCUAGGAAGAAGAGACUCCACCACAGCCAGUAUCAGUGACGCCGAGACCGACAUCCCAUCUCCGGCACUGGAUCUUGAUGACCUCAUAUCUGCAUUUUCCGAUAAAGGAUUCAGUGCCAAAGAGAUGGUGGCUCUUUCUGGUAUGUUAUCAACGUUGUCACAAAGUUUUUUCAGUUCAAUACAGUAUAUGCUAACCCUGUGGGCUUUUCUUGAAUGUAUAGGAUCUCACACUAUAGGCCAAUCCAGGUGCCUGGUGUUCAGGGACAGGAUAUACAAUGACGACAACAUCGAUUCUUCUUUUGCAGAAUCAUUGAAAUCCAACUGUCCAGACACAGAUGGUGAUGACAACCUAUCUGCUCUUGAUGAUACAAGCCCAGUUAUUUUCGAUAAUGGUUAUUUCAAGAAUCUGGUGGACAACAAGGGCCUACUCCAUUCAGACCAAGAGCUCUUCAAUAAUGGUUCGACGGAUUCUCAGGUCUCAUCUUAUGCCUCCAGCGCUACCAGCUUCUAUAAGGAUUUCACAGCUGCCAUGGUGAAAAUGGGUAAUAUUAGCCCGCUUACAGGAACUAAAGGCCAGAUUCGUGUGAAUUGCAGGAAGAUAAACUGAGCCAUGGCCCUCUGUGAUAUCUAUUUCAGCAACCCUGCAAGUUUAGUUUACGUUUGCUGUAUGCUCUCAUUGAUAAUAAUUGGCUAAACAUGCCAUGUUUGUGUGUAAAACAAGUACUAAUUAAUGGACAAGUGGUUUUCUCAUUUCUUUCACCGAACAAUACAAUAAGGUAGUACAUAACAAAGUUGUGAAUCCAUGAAAUGGAUAUCACAGAAGACAACAUGAUUUUGACAUGGACUUGGACUCUUGGGGAGAGCGAGGAGAAGAGAAGAAAUAAGCUGAAGUUACACUCUGGGAAACUGAAGGAGAUGGAGAUUUACACACAAACAACUCUCCAGGUUAUUUGUUGCAUUACCCACAUGAUAAUGUAGUCCUAGUUAAUUAAUUUUCCGGCAAUUCAUCCUGAUCUCUCCGUCUGAUCCAGUGAGAGGCUUCAUGUUGCCCAUUUUGAUCAUGGAAACACCGAAGUCUGCAAAGAAGGCUCCUGGGUUGUUGUUGUAGUAUUGCACUAGACCAUCGCUAGCACUGCCAACACCCUUGAAGAGCUCCUGAUCAGAAUGGAGGAGACCCUUUAGUUUCAGCAAGUCUUUGAAGUACUCUGUGUCGAAGUUUGCUGUUGUAGCAUCUAGAGUUGCUGUGUUGUCAUCUCCUCCCUCUUUAGGGCAUAUCCCACGCAAGGAGGCAGCAAACUUGGGUUUUAUGUUGGUCUCGUUGUAGAUCCUGUCCCUGAAAUUGGUGCAACGGGCAAGGCCAAUGGUGUGGCCGCCUGAGAGCAGAACAAGGUCAUUUAGGUCUAGCCCAUGAUUUUGAAAGUUGGAGAGAAGCGCUGGGAAGUCAAAAAUUGGACGUGGGAUAUCGCUGUUUGCAUCGUUAAGACUUGCUGUUCUCGCAUCUCUUCUGCCCAAUAAUACUUGGUAUGAUGGACCUCCCAACUAUAGCACAAACACAAUUGAUACUGUUUUGUUAAGUUUAGAUUAAGGCAAGGAACCAAUAACUGGACAAAUGAAAGAAUUAUAAGGCACUCACAAUGGCAACAGAGUCGCGAGCUGCAACAGCUAGGAUAUCUGCACAUGACACCACAUUGCCGCAGCAAGCUGAGUUAACGGCUUCUUUGAUUUCAUCUAUCACUUCAAAACCCCUAAGGGAAUUGAGAUUGGGCCCGGCUGUCUUCUCACCAGUGAAGUUGGGGGUGUCGUCUAGCAGAACUGAUGCAUCACAACCCUGCCAGUGCAACCAUAAACACAUAUAUACCACAAAGCAUUAAACUUACAUUCACAAAACAGUCAUGGAAGAAUAAACCCAUCACUAAACUUACAUUCACAAAACAGUCAUGGAAGUGCACUCGAAGCAGUGAUGCUCCAAGGCGUGGCUCAUGAUAGAUUGCCUUUUCGAGAAUUGAUCUAAUGGUGGGCAAUGCCUGCGGGCACAACUUGUCAUAAAAAUCAGGAGAGAGUUGUGCAGAUAUAGGGAUCACAAUAGCGGCAGCUACCACAAAGCACAUGAAGAAAGACCGAAAGGCAGACAUGGCUAUCGGCUCAGGUUUCUCCCAAAUUGCAGUACAGAACAGAUCAAAGGGCAUAUGUUUAUAUAGAGUGAAAAUUAUAUGACCAAUUCCCUGGUUUCUAUCAAAUUCGAUGUUAUUUUAAUUAACAUAAUUCAAUUGAUUAAUGCAAAGAAAGUUCACCUUUACAAGUAUAGAACAAGUGGGAUUUUCCAAUUGAAAACAUUGAAAUGUUUGGUUUCAGGUUACAAUCUAAUGAUCUUGGACUUGCUCAACCUUACUAUAAGAUACUUCAAAGAGGAGUUCAGUUCUUAGGAAAACAUUAACAUGUGCAUGGAUCAAAUACUAAGUCAAUCUUCAAUGAGGAUCCAAGCAAAAUCAAUGUUAAACAUGACUGCCUGAAGCAUAUGCUCAUAUAACGUAUGCUAUUGCAAUAGUACUUGCUUUUCACACUGAUGCUUGCGCCAUGGACGGCGUUGAUGAUAUUAAAUAUAAUAGGAAAAGAAAAUUUGAAGCUCCAAAAUUUAGUCUCUUACAAAAAUGGCAGAUCUGACUGUCAAAGCCUUGGAGGGGAAGAUAUGAUGGGAAAUAAAAAUGGUUUUAGUUAUUUUGGUGAUGGUUUGAUGCAUAAAGGUUACCUAAUCAACUGUCAUACUCUUAUCCUCUGAUUUGAACAGUUCAGACUUCAGCUCUGAUAGGAGGGGUUAUUUAUUCUAAUUACUAUUAUUCUAUCACCAACCCAGCUUCUAGAACUGCUUUUCUAAUUGGAGGUCAACUCAUUGAUGGAUUAUGUUUAAUACAACAUAUAAAAGUUACAAAAUCAGAGAACUUCCAAGAAAUUACAGAGACUUUGCAUUUACCCUUCCUCUUACACUGAGUCAUUUCUAUAUUUAAAAUGCUCCUACCAUUAUCCAAAUACAAUUUAGAAGCAGCAAAUGUGAGAGUCUACUCUCAUGUGUGUGUGUGUGAUACAAAGUAGCUGAAUCUGAAACACCUAGCACACCCUCAAAUCAGAUGAGGCUAUAUGCAAUUAAUCCAAAACCUUAGCACACAAAACACUGGCACUCAAUGCCCAACAGAUAACAAAGAAUACAGCUUAGAUUCUUCUGUAUGCCGAGGAUAUGAGAUAAUAUUGAUACAAUGUCAGCAAUCUUUCACAAAAUUGUUUACCAUCUAGUUAGAUAUAUAAUUUUUUUAAUAGGUAAAUUUUUUUCUCCCCAUUGGGACUUGAACCUGGAACCUCCCACAAACCAUCCCCAUCUAGUUAGAAAUAUGGACAUUGCUACAAUGAUUUGGGAUAUAAUAUUAGGGAUAAAUAUUACAAUAACAAUGGGGUUUUACUGGAAACUAAAGCAUUGCAUAUUCAGGCAGCUAGAAUGCUCCUACCAUCAUCCAAAUACAAUUUAGAAACAGCAAAUGUGAGUCUUCUCUCAAGUGUGAUACAAAGUAGCUGAGGGCAUCCCCAAUCAGAUGUGCCUACAUGCAAUUAAUCCAAAACCUUAGCAACCAAGACAGUGGCGCAGAUAACAAAGAAUACAGCAUAGAUUCUCCUGAAUGCAGAGGAGAUGAAACGAUAUUGACACAAUCUUUCACAAAAGUGUUUAAUGUCUAGUUAGAAAUGUGAACAUCACUAGAAUGAUUUGAGGGAUAAAUUUUACAAUAACAAUGGGAUUUAACUGGAAACCAAAACAUUGCAUAUUCAGGCAGCUAAGCACAAGUUUUUUUCACCAACUGCCUUCUCCCUUCAUCUUCUGGCCUGAGGGCAUCAGUUCGUAGAAUUGGUCCAUGAAAGAAAGAUGAAGCACCAUUUAUAUUCAACUUCAUCAAGAAAAAAUCGAGAAAUAAAGAGGCAGCAUAAAACUUUCCAUUCAUAAAUACUAAGGUAUGUCAUGUUCUGAGACACAGGAUUUUCCCGUUCAAGAUAAGAAAUUGAACCCAUAUACAAAGAUAAACAAAAAUUAAACUCCCAAAUUCCAAAUAAUUACACGAAAAUUGAUCUAAGAAAUCACCCAUCAAGAUCAUGGUUGGUGAAUGUUGCGAAUUGCAGCAUUGAUACUUCUACAGUCGAAAUCCAUGGUCUUCAUCCAGUUCUCAAAAUCUCCAAUUUCCUACACAUUCAAACCCAUAGAACAUGAAUAACAACCUCUCCCAAAAUAAAUCAACAAAGACAAAAGAAUCAUAUCGAGCUCGUUCAUUUUGCGAGGAGGUUGAUGGAUUCAAUUUUCAUGUAACAUCUAAACACAAAGUUAUCCCCAAUAACUUGUCGUCAAUACUUCAACACAUUAUAAUCGAGCAACUACCGCAAUCCAAAUUUAUGAUUUUCGAUUUCAAGCGAUUAAUAUUCCAUAUGCAGCUCAUCAAUAUGCAAAUUUUAAGGCAAGAUCUAAAUGUAGUGAAAUUAGAAUAGAAAUGGAAGAUACUCAGAAGUAUAGAUAAAGAACCUUUAUAGCAGUGUUGAUGGCAUGAGAAGCAGCCAGCCAUUGAUGGGUCUGCUUGGCAAAGCGGAUGACGGUGGCAGUUAAUGCUCGGCUUUCGAGUUCAAUUCGCUUCUCGUUAAUAAACGCUUCUUGAACUCCACCAUUCACAGUAUCCACCAAAAGAUCCGAAACCCUCAUCGCUGUUCUAAUUGCAUCGUUCUUUGCUUUCUCUGUUUUCAAAAAAAUUCCAAACAGAAUCCCCAAUUUCAAUUCUCGACACCUAGGGUUUUGAAGAUACCAAAACCUAGCUCAAAUUUAGUUAAAUUGAAAAAGAAGAAAAGGCAUGAAAGGAAAAGGAACUGACCGGUUUCAUCGCGGAGUUUGAGAGAAGUUUGGUGGUGGUCCUGGAUAAGUUGAAGCAGAGAAGCUUCCAAGCCGCUGGGAUCUGCAUUUGGUCUCUCGAUCUCAGCGGGAGACAACACGCGUGCACGCGCCACCGGAAGAGGCUGUGUAAACAUUUCGACCAAAGCGAAGAAGAGGGUCACGAAAAAUAGGUGAAAUGCGCGGUGAAUUUAGCAUUUGGUAGGAGAGGUGGGAAUGGAAGACCAUGGGUGCACACAUGUCUGUGCUACCCUAGCCGUUAGACGUCCCAGAUCUCACCACGUCAUCAACCGAACCUAUCAUGAGUGGAAAGAACUUUUCCUUCAAAUUGCCCAAGUAAACACAAUGAAGUGAAAGGAAAAUUCUGCAACUAGAAUGGAUUAGAUCGAUUUUUAACCAAGUUUGAUUGGAUUUAAGAAAUGUAGAAAUGAAUUUAGCCUAUUCAAUUUUCAAUUUCUUAUUUCCUAAUUGAUGAAAUCUAAACUAAAUUGAUUUUAUACAACUUAUAUUUCUUAUGAUGUAUAAUACUAAAUUAAUAUUCUAAAACUUAUAUUUCAUAUUCAAAAAAUUUGUUUUAUACUUAUCAUUAUAUAUAUUUUAUAAAUUGUAUUAAAGCAAUUUGUUAUUCCUAGGUUAGUGAUAAAUUAAUUUUUAAAAGCAUCUUUGAUAUUUCUUUGCUGAAGGUAAUGACUAAGAAGGAAUGCACGAGACCAACUUAUAACCUUUCUUAUAUUGUUUAUGCUAGCUUUCAUUGAUUGUAUAUUCUAACUGUGAUUAUACACAUAAUUAGGCUAUAAAAUAUCUCCAUUGUUUCCGACUCUUUAUAUACUUCGUAAAUAAUUAGGAUACAAGCAAUUUUUCAUCCAUUGAUGUGCUUCAUCUUUUCAUGGUAUCAGAGCAUCAUUGCUCCAACGAGUACACCUGAUCUCUCUUGCUCCAUAUCUCAAAUUUUUUCUCUUCGUUUACCACAAUGAUAAAAAAGUCCUAUAUAACUAAAUCAAAUCAAGCUUCUAUUGUUAUCACUCCUGAAGGAACUUCGAACAACAUGUUGAUGACUCUUAACUCAACAUCACAACUACCAGUAAAACUCACUGGUCCCAAUUACCCUACUUGGCGAACUCAAUUUCUAACAUUGCUCUAUAGCUAUGAUCUUAGAAGGUAUAUAAAUGGCAUAUUGAUAGAACCUCCUAUAACCAUCAAGAAGAAUGACAUUGAUGUUGUAAAUUUAGAUAACAAACUUUAGAAAAUGCAAGACAACCUCCUCCUUAAUGGCAUGCUUGUAUUUGUUUCUUAUCAAGUUGCACAUCUUAUCACUUUUAUUGAAUCAACCAAAAAAGCAUAGGAUCAAUUGCAUAUGACAUAUGCCAAUAGGUCACGAUCUCGCAUCUUCAACCUCAAAAAGUCUCUUACCAAACUCAUAAAAGACAACAUGAUAUAUGCAGAAUUUAUGCAAAUUGUCAAGACUAUUGCUGAUGAAUUAGUACUUGUUGGAAACCUUGUUCAGGAUGAUGAUUUAGUCAUUGUUGUAUUGAACGGGCUUGGAGAAGAAUUCAUAGAAAUAAAUGUUGUUUGAAUCCAAGAUAAACCAAUUUCCUUUGAAGAACUUCACAUGAGAAAUUGGCAGAUCAUGAACGACGUCUCAAAAGGCACACUAUUGAAUGAGAAACUGUGCAAAUAAUAGCCCAAUUCAAUCAAAAGAACUCUAAUGCCAAGAACAAAGGUAACAAUUUGAAUGGAAAUGGGUGCAACAACUACAAUUAUGGGAAUUAGCACUUGAAUCAAGGAACCACCAUGAAUUGUAACCAUCCAGGACAUUUCUCAUCUCAAACAAAACAUCCCAAUUUUUCCAACCAUAAUUAGCGUACUAUGAACCAAAAUUGUGUCAACCAUGUGACAAGAUUGGUUACUUCACCAAAACUAGUUGUUCUCAAUUUACUUCUUCACUAGAAUCAUAGGCUCACUUAAUGGCCAAUAACUCCAACAACCUCAACUAGAUAAUGGACUCGAAUGCCUCAUACCACAUAACAUAAGAUUUUCAGAACUUGUCUAUUCAUUCCGACUAUAAUGGCGUUGAUGACGUUAUCAUCGAUGAUGAUAAUAAUGUUCCCAUCUCCCACACUGGUUCUAUUAAGCUUAUUACUCCUAACUCUAUUUUUCAACUUAACAAUGUUUUGUGUGCUCUUUACAUCAAAAGGAAUGUGUUUUAUGUUUCCUAAUUUUUCAAAUAUAAUAAUAUCUCCAUUGCAUUUUUUUCCCAUUUUCUUUGUUGUGAAGAAUUUACAAAUGGAAGUUUUGCUUGUCCAAGGUCAAAGUAAAGGAAAUCUGUAUGAAUGACAAACCUCUUCUACUACACUCCAACCCCUAGCCAUAUGCUACAAUUCUACCAAAGUCAUAUAAAUCAAUGGCAUCAUUAUCUUGGCCACCCCAAUUCCAAAGUUCUUAAAAAUAUUGUUUUUAGUAAUUUUCUUUCUAUUUCCACAACGUCAAACCUUGAUGUGUAUAAUUCGUGUCUUUGAAAUAAAAACCAUUGUUUCUCCUUUGGCGUUUCUACUCUUAUCAAUACUAGACCACUAGAAAUAAUUUUCACGGAUGUUUGAGGACCUUCUCUGAUUACCCCAGUUAACAACUACCCAUAUUACGUGUUUUUCAUUGAUUAUUUUUUUUUAAAAUACUCUUGGCUUUAUCCCUUGAAACAUAAAUUUGAAGUCACAAGUGUUUCUGAAAAAUAAAAGGCCACUAUGGAAAAAUAUUUCAAGCACUCAUAUCCACAAUGUAUUUUGAUAAAAGAAGAGAAUUUUAAGGUUUAAAUUCCACAUUUUCCAAACAUGACAUCCAACAUCUCAUUUCUCCACCUUACACUCCACAAAUUGUGGGCACAAUCAAGCAAUGACAUAACCAUGUUGUUGAGAUAGGACUAACACUAUUGCAUCAUUAUUCCUUACCUUUUAAAUUUUGGUCUACAACUUUCCAAACAACCUCAUAUCCUAUCACUUGUCUUCCUGCACCAAUCUUGGAUAAUUUAUCUCCAUUUGAGAAACUUUUUCAACAUAUCCCAAAUUAUAACAAGCUAAAAGCAUUCUAUUGUUGAUGUUAUCCCUGGCUUUAACCCUACGCAAAUCACAAACUUCAACCCUACUCCACACUACGUAUUUUUUUGGGAUAUUUUGUGCCAUAUAAUUCCUAUAAACCCUGUUUCUAGAAAGCUUUAUAUAUCAUGUUAUGUAACUUUUUUAGAAAACAAAUUCUCAUGCCAAAAUACGGUCUCCCAUGAGUCAAGAGUCACCACACAUUUCCUUAAGUCUUGGCUAUCUCAUGAUUUUGCCACUACUCCGGCCACAAUUCUCAUUCCUCCAUCUAAACUAACCAACCCUACCUCUAACUUUCCUAUUCUCAUACUUUCCCUUUAUCCUCCAUCUUCAAUCAGUGUCAUCUUCACUAAUACCAACUUACCCAUCUUAAACAAUAAAUUAGUAGCCUCGUUGACUCUUAAUCACUAAUGGUAAGUCCCUUCAUCCUCACUAAUUCCCUACCCAAAAAUCCAUCACCCGUCUUACCACCCUAAGGCAUAAUUGUCACAUGCUCUAAAAAUCAGAUUUUCAAACCAAAAAUUUUUAGUCUUACCUCUAACUCUCUUCCCAUACCCAACCCUACUGAACCAACUACUUAUCUUCAAGCACAACAAUAUCCUCAUUGGUGUAUUGCUAUAAGUGAUGAAUUUGAUACUCUCCUUCGAAACCACACAUGGUCCCUUGUUCAUCCUUCUAAGUCAACUCAAUAUCAAUAACGCAUUUCUUUAAGGCACCCUUGAUGAUGAUGUCUACAUGCAACAACCUCCUGGCUUCACUAACAAACAAUUUCUCAAUCAUAUUUGUAAGUUAAACAAAGCCAUUUAUGAACUUCGUCAAGCUCUACUUGCAUGGUUUCAUAAACUACACACCUUUCUCAUUAGUUAUGGUUUCAUCAACUCUAUCUCAAACACUUUUCUUUUCAUCAUGCAUAAAGAACAAUAUGUGUUAUAACUUCUCAUUUAUGUUGAUGAUAUCAUUGUCAAUGGAAACAAUUUAUAGACAAUGCAAUGAUUUAUCAUUUCCUUAUCUAAUUGUUUUUCUCUCAAAGAUCUUGGAUCCAUGAAUUAUUUUUUAGGCAUUGAGGCUAUUUGAACUACUAAUGGUCUUUUCCUUUCCCAACACAAAUAUAUUCGGGAUCUUUUGGAGAAAAAUUAUAUGCAAAAUGCAAAGGAAGUUACCAAGCCCCUCUCUACCACUGAAACUUUAACAUUGCUUGAUGGUGCUCCUUCUUCGGAUGUUUCUCAAUAUCGCCAAGUUGUUGGCGCCUUAUAAUGCUUAUCAUUCACUCAACAUGAUAUUUCCUUUGCUAAGAAUAAACAGUCACAAUUUAUGCAUCGUCCCUCAAUGAAUCACUGGACAAUUGUUAAAGAGUCCUUUGCUAUCUCAAAGACACCUUACACCAUGACCUUCUUCUUCGUAAGUCUUCUAAUGUCUUUUUAUGCUUUUUCGGACUCUAAUUGGGCUACAAAUGUUAAUGAUCGCACUUUAACAUCGAUGUACAUUGUUUUCUUGGUACAAAUCCAUUAAGUUCAAGCUCCAUAAAGUAACGCAUUGUUACUCAUUUCUCUAUCGAAGCCAAAUGUAGAGUAAUUGUUUCCAUUGCUAGGUGCUAAAAUAAAUUGACUUCAAAAUCUCAUUCAUGAGAUUCUGAUUACUACUCAAAAAGAGCAUAUUUUAGAUAAUAAUUCUCAUGAGUUUCACAUCUUUUAAGUAGUAAUUAUACCUAAAACACUCAAUUAACAUGUUGUUGCCCUUGCAAGAGUUACUAACAAGUUUUAUGAAAUUUUAGAGUCAUUUCAAGGUAUGAUUUUGAUAAAUUAGUGACAAAAGAAAUGAAUCAAAUUGAAGAGAACAAAUAAAGUUGAUGAAGAUCCAAAUGCAUAAUGAAAGAAGUAAUGCAAUUGGUUUGGACCGGGAUUUGGAGUUGAUUUGGAGGUGAUUGAGGUGGAUUCAAAAGAAAGAAAUGGAAGAAAUGACAAAAGAGUUGAAAAAUUAAAUAUUUCUAUUUCGUAUGAUCAUGUGAAAAUCUCGCAUGACUAUGUGAAAUGGACCAGAAUGAAUUUUUGCUGCAAACAAAAGGGAAAACCUCAAAGCUGAUUUCGCAUGAUCAUGCAAAAUUUUCGCAUAGUCAUGAGAAAUGCUCCAGGAAGGCGAAAAUUGUUGUUGUUGCAUUUUUUUAGUUCGCACAAUCAUGCGAAAUUGCUGGAUCUUGUGCGAAAUGACUAUUUUAUUACUAAACUCCAGAUUUCUUGGUGAAGAAGCCUCUGUAAAACCUCUUAGAUGAUGCUAAGUGUCCACUUGACCUUGACCUAUAAAUAAAAACUUGAUUUUCUCAUUUAGGGGACUUUUAGACAUUUCCAAUUGUAAAAUUUUCUAGAUUUUUUCUCUCUCUAUAAAAUUCUCUAUUUUUCUUCAUUUUCUCUCAUUUUCUCACUAGCCAAACAUGCCUUGAGAGACUAAAUCUCCAAGCAUGAGUGGCUAAAUCUCAUUUUUCUCGGAGGAGGGAGAAUCCAGAGGCAAAAUAUAUGGUGAAUUAGAUAAAUGAGCUUGAAUUACACAAGUAAUUUGAUCCAAUUGAUUGAUUAAUUGAAUUUUGAGGAUUUUUCUCUUCAAAUUGUCUUGGAUGAUUUCUACAAUGCAAACUAGGUAGAUUCAUCAAAUUCUUAAAACUAGAUUUGAUGAGAUUGAAUAGUUGCAUCGUGUGAAUCAUUGGAAGAUAAUUUAAAAUAAAUUGAAUAUAUGAUUUGAAUUGAUCUCUUGGAUUAAAUGACCUAAUUUGAAGAGAAAUUAGAUCUAGACCUAGAGUUAAAUAAAAAAUCGAUUUAGAUGAAAAUUUAGGUUUUCAAUCUAACUUGAUGAAAAGUAGAUCUCAAUAUCUAUUCACCAUAAAAAUUGUUUUCUAGAAAAUCCUAACUCCGAAAAUUUCAUCUCCUAUUAAUUUUCUUCUAUUUUACAUUUCAUUUUUCUUCUCAAUUUGAGACCAUUGUUAAAUUCAUUUUUUUUACCAUGAAUUUUCAAAUCAAUUUCACUUGAUCACAAUCAUUUCUUACCCUUUCAUUCAAGCCUUAAUUAUCGAGAAUAAUCCAUCCUAGUGGACGACACCUAAAAACCACUAUACUAUGGUAGUUUGUACUAAAACCAUUUUUGAUCAGGUACAAGCUACUCUAGAAUAGUGAAUUAGGUUAUAAAUUUUGUUUUGAUCCAAUAAACGACGAAAAAACCAAGCGAUUAGAUUCAUCUCCACAUUCCUGCCACUCCUGUGAUUUACUAUGACAAUAUUGGAACAAUUGAUCUUAGCGCUAACCUAGUGUUUCACUCAUGAAUGAAACAUAUUGCCAUUAACUUUCACCUAGAACAAAUCUUAGAUUUUCUAUCAACACAGGCUUGAUAAAUAUUUAAAUAAAAAAAAAUACUUGAAGAUGGAUGAGUAGACUUCAAUGGAUUUAUAAAAAUGAGAGUGAGUGGAUAUCUAAGUAAUAUAUCAAUAAUUAUUACAAUAUGUGUAACUCUUAAAAUGAUAACUUACAAAAAUAAUAAACUCUAUAAUCUAAAAAUUUAAGAUGUUUCUAAUUCCAUUAUGAUAUUAAUAGAGAAUAUAAGAAAUUUACUUUAAAGUUAAAUAUGCAUAAAUAUCAACAUAUAUAAACAAAUUGUUUAAUUAAGAAAAGAAUUUAUGGCAUGGAAUCUUUAAUUUAGAGAUCAAAUUUUUCUAGAUAUAUUAUAAGAUUGAGAUUAGAAAAUUAUUAUGGCUCAUCAUUUAAUAGAGUUUAUUAGCAGUUUUCUUCCAAUGACCUCUUCUUAAAAAGAAAAAAAAAUAGAAAAAAAAAAAGAUACAAAGAACAAUGUAUCAACUUAGGCUAAUUUGACACCUAUAAGAAUCAUAUCUCUAAGGUAUAAUUUCAUGUUUAAUAACACGAACUAUUAUUUAUCUAAUCAAAACUAAAAUGAUGAAUAUUUGAUUCUACAAUUAAAUUGUAUGAUAUUUCAAUAACAAGCACAAUUUAUUUUCGGGGAAUGAUUAAUAUUACUUUUAAAUAUGAACAUUUGAUUUAAGUUCUAAACCUAGAUUCUUUUUUGCCUUAUGCAUCAAUCAUACAUAAAUGUUCAACAAAAAUGUUUAUAUAACUAUGCCUAAGCCAUUUAACUGUAUGAGUAUCAUUAAUUUAGAAGUCUCUUAGAAGAAUAAUAUUUAAAGAUUAUUAGCAACAAUAAAAGUCAUACAAAAAUAAUUCAACUUUAAACAAUAGAAAUUAAAAAACAAAAUACCUACCAAGUGAGAUUUGCAAUAUGCUAUCUUUAAAGAAUAAUUUUCUCUCUUUUGAUACUGUCUAAAACGAUAGUCAAACAAUGUUUUCUCACAUAAGAUACAAUAGUCAAAUUUAUAGGAGAUGUGCCUUUACAAAAUCGAUGGAGUUGCAUCACUCAGUUAAGAUGUUCCUCUCAACAUAAUGAGUAAAGGAGUAGGUAAAUAUGAGAAUAAAAUUGAUGAUGAUAUUGAAAUAAGACAAAUGAAAUUGCAAAAAAUAGAUUUUUUUUUCAUGUUUGUAAAUUCAUUGAUUACCUUUUUUUCCUUGUACUAAUUAACUUAAUUAUAAAAAAACAUAUUGAUAUUUCUAACCAACUUUGCUUCUCACCAAUGAUUUGAUCAAUUCUUCUAAUCACAUGACAAAAAAAAAUAAAAAAAUAAAAAAUAAAAAAAAAUAAUAAUAAUACUUUUUCAAUGACUUACCAUUCAAGAAUUCUUGAUUUGACAAUUGGUUAUAGCUGUAUGAAGAUUGUAUUUACCUUUAUAAAAUUUUUUUAUGCUGUCAUGAAACUCUUAAAUAACAUGUUAACAUCAACGUCAAUACUACCUUUGCAUAUAGUCAAGGUGGCUUAAGAUAAGCUUAAAGUGAAAAAGAUGCAUCACAAAGUAUGAAUCACACAACAUAUCUCUAACAAACUUUGCUUCUCACCAAUGAUUUGAUCAAUUCUUCUAAUCACAUGACAAAAAAAUAAAAAAUAAAAAAUAAAUAAUAAUAAUAAUAAUAAUACUUUUUCAAUGACUUACCAUUCAAGAAUUCUUGAUUUGACAAUUGGUUAUACCUGUAUGAAGAUUGUAUUUACCUUUGUAAAGAUUUUUUAUGCUAUCAUGAAACUCUUAAAUAACAUGUUAACAUCAACGUUAAUACUACCUUUGCAUAUAGUCAAGGUGGCUUAAGAUAAGCUUAAAGAGAAAAAGAUGCAUCACAACAUAUGGAUCACAUUACAAAUUUUUGGCCAUAAAAAUCUUAUCGAUUCAGUAAUAAAUCUAUAGUAAUAAUACACUUUGAUUGGUGAUUGAUUAAUUGGUGUCAAAAUUGGGCCCUAAAAAUGGACUAUGGUGGCCUUUGCCAUGACCAAAAGUCGAAUAAUUUCUUAAUAACAAUGAGAGAAUCUUUCUAGAUUAAGUUUCCGACAACACUGACUUUACCAUUAAAUGUAUGAAGAUUACAAAUCAAUAAGCUUUAAGAUAUGACAAAUGAUUUAAUAAUUUAAGAUUAACUUUAAAGUAAAAGGAAGUUAUGAUUUAGAUAGAGACAUGGAAUAUUGAAAAUGUCAUGUAUGCAAUAAUCAAUGCGUAGAUACAACCUUCCACCUAACUUUAAAAUUUUUUUUUUCUUUUCCCUUUUUUUCUUUCUACUCUAUGGAAAAAUCCCCCUUUAUUAAUUGAGCAGCUUUAUCACAUGAUACCUAACUUUGAAAAUGUCCCCUUUAUUUAUUUAUUUACUUUUUUUUUUUGGCUUUUUCCAUAUAGUAAGCAAGUCAAAUUUUGGAAGAUAACGAGACAAAGAGGUUGCUGCAUUGAGUUAGGUGGGUCCCAUCAUAAAUUGCCUUUAAUUGAGAGCAUGCACAUGCAGAUUGACUGUUGUGGCGAAAUCAAAAUUCGUUAUGCUAUUUGAAAAGCACUGCAGUGCCACGUGUGCGGCCAAGGUGUCAUGUAUAAUUCGAUGGGUUUAUAUCAUGGUGGUAUUACUUUACACUUUGAUUAUUAUUAUUAUUAUUAUUUUACAAUCUCAUAUGUUUAUAUCAUUAUUUAAUAAUUUUCACUUUAUUAUAUAUUUUGAAUGACCCAAAUCAAAAGUUUGAUAUAUAUUUUUUAUACGUCAUAUUGUUUCAUAAUCCGGGUUUCAUGGUUUCGUACUUUAUAUAUUAUUCCAUCAUUUUGUAUUUAAAUUUUAUUAUUUUUUCAUAUGUUUAUAUUUUUAUUGAAUGACCGACAUUUUAUCGUACAUUCUCAAUGGUUAAUGAUUAAGAUAAAAAAUUUGAUAUGAUAUGAAAUUAAUAUUAUAAUUUUUUUUAGAGAGAACAAGGGGGUUAUUUGUCAAUCUCAUAAUUAUUAUUUUUAAAAAUGUCAUUUUUUUUUUCUCUUCUAGUCAAAAUUUGGGAGAUAGUCUCGCCACAUUCAUAGCUGUAUUGGGCCCAUGGUGGUUCAAUAACCAUCUGCUUUAAUUGACAAUACACAUACAAGUCAAUUACCACACAAUGCCGCAGAAUUAAAAAAAAUGUAAAAAUAAUAAUAAUAAUAAUAAUAAUAAUAAUAACAAAGAAAAAUAAAAAGUGAAAAGUGAAAUUUAAUGGAAAUGGUUGAUGGGUAAUGACAAAUGACACGAUAUUUUGAAAUAUGUAAGAUUUUAAACAAUUUAAGUGAAUUUUUUUUUUCAUAUUUUUUUUAUUAUAAAUCAAAUAAAAAAUUUAGAUUUUUUUUUCUUUCUUUUUUGUUCUUCUUGUUGUUGUUUAGUUCAAGUCAACUGAGCAAUAGCUUCAAAUUUGAAGCGUGUCACUCAGUUACUUACAACUAUAUAAAAAUCAUGGUCAAAUUUCAAUACUUAAUUGACUAAACCCCAUUGCUCUUGAGCAUUCAAUGAACAUCUACAAAAUUAGAAAUUUGCACGUUACUUUCCAGCCACCAGAAAGGAAGGGGCACAUAACAACUGAGCCGACAGAGCCGUAAAGUAGGAAAUUUUGAUACUAUACUCAACUUACCAUGUGAUCUGUUAAAAUAUAUGAGUAAAUUUCGACCGUUAAAUUAAAAUAUUAAAAAAAGUAAGAUUUAGAUAUAAAGAAAUAUAACUUUAAGGACACGUAACAACUGAGCCGACAAAGAUGUAAUAAUAUAGGAAAAUUUGGUCUUAUACUCAACUUAUCAUCUGAUUCGUUAAAAUAUAUGAUUAAAUUUUGACCGUUGAAUAAAAAUAUUUAAAAAAGUAAGAUUUUGAUAUAAAGAAAUAUAACUUAAAGGGCACAUAACAACUGACGCGUAAAAAGUAGGAAAAUUUGGUCUUAUACUUAACUUAUCAUCUAAUUUGUUAAAAUAUAUGAUUAAAUUUGAACAGUUAACUAAAAUAUUAAGAAAAAUAAAAUUUAGGUAUAAAGAAAUAUAACUUAAAUAAAAGUUAUAUUUAAUUUUUAGAAAGUAUUAAGAAAAGUAUAUAUAAUUUUAAUUAAUUUAAAGUAGGAGAUAAAAACAAUUUAUUAUCUUUAAUCUAUUUUUUUAUUUUUUUUAUUUAUUUUAAAAUUUAGCGAAACCAAACAAAUUGAAAACAAUGCCCACUUUUUUUUGUUGGGAAAACAAUGCCAAUGUAAGAUUAAAUUUGAAUAAUUGAGUGAAAGUAUUUAAAAAAAUAAAAUAUAAAUAAAAAAGAAAAAACACGAGGUGUAUAAAAAACUAAGACAUAAAUAUAGAAACAAUAAAAAUAUUUAUGAAUUCUAAAGCAAUGAGAUUCUUUUCAAUCACGUAACCAUUUAUAAUUAUAUCACACUUUUUGUUGCGAUGUAAUACUCCAAUUCACGCUAGCGCCAUGACCAAAAGCAAAAAGUAGAAACUAUUUUAGAAAAUUUCUAAGGCAUGCAGCGUAAUGACUCAAGUGGAUUCUCUUGGUGUACAAAUGUCUAUGGGAUUGAUUUGAUCCCUUCUUUCUCUAGAAAAAAUUUGACUGGUCUUGCAAGAACCUUUCCUCCUCUGUGUUUGGUCCCAUCAUUGACGGGCAUUUAAUAAAGAAACUAUCCAAAACAUUUUACCUAAAGAUAAUGAAAGAAACCAAAGGAAAAAAAGGAAAAAAAAUCUCAAAGGUAUUCCGUUGCUCCACACUUGGGUGGUAUGAUAUGAUUUGUGUUUGUCUUUAUUCCAAAAUAUCUACCAAGAAAAUCACAAACUAAUCCAAAUUGUCCUGGCUAAAAAUUUGUCAAAUCAAUCAAAGUAGCUUAAGUUUCAAUCAUUUUCACAUGUGUUUUUUUUCUUCUAAAUUUCAAUAGGUAGUAGUAAUGCUUACUCAUCAAGUAAAUUGGAUGCACCACUUGUUAGACAAAUUGAGGUCGCAAGGAGCAGGUGGCUAGCCACCAUAGUAGUUGGAAUGCUUUCAACAUUUCACACCAUGUUUCAAGGUUUUAUAUUGUGUGGGUGGUUGGUUGAUUAGGGUUUUGCAAUAACUAAGUCCUAACUCCUAAGUACAAUGUUGAAUGGAAUAUUUUUUAGAAUAAUUUUUAAGUAUUUUAUGAUCAAUAAGAAGUAAAAGGCAGUCCAUCCUUACUGAAAAUGAUUAGAAAUAUUUAUCGUUUAGUGUAAAAUAUAUAAUUCUUCUAGAAGAUUAAUUUAUAACUACUUAUCAUGAAUGAUAUCAGUUAGAAGUUAAAUCUCUAUUGUUAUGAAAUGUUAUAUUUGAUCGAUGACAACAAAUUAAAAACUGAUCUAUUAAACUUAUUAAAGUACAAAACAAUACAAUAGUACGACUGUACUAUCAUACUUAAAAUGACAAAGAUAAUUUAAUGUGAAGUCUAAGUGUCUAUUUAGGAACCGUUUUCAAAUUUAAAACACGGUUUUAGAACAAAUUUUCUUUAUUUUUUAAAUCAUCUUAAGGUGAACUAAACGCAUCAACCAAGAUGAUAUUUUAUAGUUGCCCCUCCAAUGUAAUCUUAUUCUUGAAUACGAUACAACGAAGAACUAUUUUUAAAAAAUUACUCUCAAAAAUUGAUUCCUAAGAAUCAUUCUUGCAAACAUGACCAAACAAACCAUAAUUAUUUCAAAAGUUCAUAUCUUCUCGUGUUCUCAUACCAAGUCCAAAAAUCAAAAUACCAACAACAAACUGUUUUCUGACAACUAUCAAUUUUGAUUUAGUAAAAUAAAGUAGAAGCUCUUGAUUAUUUGAACGGUCAAUCAACCUCAACAAGGUCUCAUCUGCAUGGGGUCUUGCACCAAACCUACAAAAUUAAAUGCAUUUCAAUGGAGCCCACAUUUGAAAAAUUUUGCGUUUGUCUGGAAUAUCAAACAUUGCGACCGCUUCAUUUCACGUAAACGCGUCUUGAUGCUAAUUGACAUCUAUUUUUCAUCGUUCUCAACUAAUUAAUGCCCCCUGCUUACUUUUCCAAACGUAGAAAUGUGAUCCCAACCAGGCCAUGCACUACUGGUCAUGAGGAUUAGGUAAUCUGCCAAAGGCCAUACGCCUCUAUAUAAAACCCUACCUGGACUGCCUUGUGCUCACCACACUCCACUCUUAAACCCUAAAUUUUUCUUUUUCUCUUUUCUGGCUGAUUAGUCCUAUGGCUUCCUCUUCUUUCUCCAUUGUUGUUGUGGCAUUGGGUGUCCUCGCGCUCUUUGCGGGGAGCUCUUCUGCUCAACUCUCGACCAACUUUUACUCUAAAACUUGUCCUAAGGUCUUUGAUACUGUGAAAUCUGGAGUUCAAUCGGCGGUUUCGAAAGAACGCCGCAUGGGCGCUUCUCUCCUCCGUCUCUUCUUCCAUGAUUGCUUUGUCAAUGUAAUCCUUCUAGCUUCUUGUUCUUAGUGUAUGGGCCUGAGUGUUGGGUCAUGCAUGUUUCAUAUUUGAAGUCUAAGAAAAAUCUUAGAUAAGGUCAUAGGGAUUCUUAGCUCAAUUUUGGGUUAAUUUGGGAGUGUCUUUUACGAGGUUGCUGUUUUAAUUUUUGUUCUUAGGUUUUUUAUUUUCCGGAGUCUUGGGCCUUGCCGACAUCCAACCUUCACAUUAAACAUGUACUACUUUUUUCUUUGGUCAAAGGGGUAGCCCGAAUAGCUACUGCAUGAGGUGUAGGUUAAACAGAUUGGCUGGGAAGGUCGUAGUUAAACACUUGAACUCACCUCGAGAUUCGUUCUUGACCAGGUCAAGAGCUUCUUAAUAUGCUUUUAGGUGCAUUUAUAGUUUAACAUGGUAUCAAACUUGUCCUUAAAGUCGUGAGUUUGAGAGAGUUUGUAGAUCAUUAUUUCAAACCUAUCUUUGAGGCAAGAAGGUGUCGGGACUAACUUGGAUUAGCCUGAUAUACAUUGUUGGUCCAUAAUGAUAAUAGUUCAAACUGUUGGUAGCUUAAUAUGCAUAGUAUUAAAUUUACCCAUGAAGUCAUGAUAUACAUUAUUGACUUACUAUCUAACCAUUCUAAGUUUUUGAAAUAUAGUUUUACUAAAUUGUUAUGCUUUUAGGGACUAAUUCUUUUUGUUUCUAGCCAUGCCCUGGAAAAUGAAAUUUGAAAUGAAAAGGCCUGGUUGCUAGAACACCCCAAUUUUCAAAUGAAAUGGCCUAGAUACAGCUUGAGAAGAAAUAAAAAGUCAACAGGCUUAAAAGAGGUGGUGUCCUCAACUAAAAAAAAAAAAAAAAAAAAUCACAAAAAAUCAUCUUAAUAAUUAAUAUCUGCUUCAGACUGUUGUUCUCCAUUAAUUUAUCAUAGAAAGUAAACGAUACAAGCUAGCUAUAGUUAUUAAUAUGACCAAUUCAUACUUACUCUGUUUGAUGCUUGGUGUUUAAUUACAGGGCUGCGAUGCAUCAGUCCUCCUCGACGACACCUCUUCCUUCACUGGCGAGCAGACCGCCGUCCCCAAUAAGAACUCCAUCAGAGGCCUAAAUGUGAUCGAUAACAUAAAGUCGCAGGUGGAGAGCGUGUGCCCUGGUGUAGUCUCCUGUGCCGAUAUCAUAGCCAUUGCUGCUCGCGACUCGGUCGUGAUUGUGAGUUCAUAAU